UGGCUCAGUGGUUAAGAGCCCUGGCUGCUCUUCCAGAGGACCUGGGUUCAAUUCCCAG
rfam:Cricetulus griseus cell line CHO-K1, whole genome shotgun sequence.